AACUGGGAAGAGUGAGAAGCAGCCCCUAGACAGUCUUGGCUCUAAAGGAGCGCCCCCCCCCCCGCCGCGAAAGCACAGUGGCCCUCUUCAACCCAGGGCUAUGGAGGCUUCUGGGGUCCUCAAGGAGCAGGGCGAAGGGAGGCUGGCUGCAGGAGCGCCUUGGGAGGCACGCAAGCCGGGAGGCACAGCGUGAUGGAGAAUCACUUUCGUUCUGUGGGCUGGAUCAAAAAGUGGCCAACCCUCCACAGGCUACAUUUGACAAGUGGACAGAGCUGCCCACCUCUCAAAUCACCUAACAUCAUCAUCAGGUGGAUCUUAUCCCACCCAAAAGCAAUGUGGCUUGCAUUUGGAGCCAACAUUUAAACAGUGAUAGAUGCAAGCCGGGGCUUCAAAGGAACAACCAGAAGUGCAUUCUAAGCCAUUACUCCCAAUUAUUCCUUUGGAGGUGCAACCUUGUCUGUCUUGCAUAUGACAUCAUAUGACAUCAAGCCUUUGUUUGUGCGGAAGAAGAUGAUGAUGAUGACACCAUUGCAUGGAUGAUUUUACAUAAUCUACACUUCCUAGAUUUGCAAAAGGCAAUUAUCGUUGUGAAGUGUUUACACUGAUUUAUGGGAGGAAAGUGGCCUAGGAGAGGAAUGCUGAUAAUAUCAACACAGUGGAUUAAAUACACAUUUACACCUUUAUUGACAUAUAAAUUAUCCAUGCCAAGAAUGCAAUGAGCAGGAUGCUGGUGGAUCAACAAGGAGGAUACUGGUGAAACAAUGAUAUGGCACGGACUAUUAGAUAUGGAAUCAGCGCUGCCAUCUCCCUAUAAGGCACAUCAAUGGAUUUCUACAUCUGAGCUAAAAUAGGGAAUAAAGGGCUUACAAUUCUUGUCUGUUAAGAUAAUUAGCAGAGAUGGCAAACCAGAGAUCUGAAAGCAUUAUAAAAAACAAAGAAGAGAUUUGAAGUUCUUCCUCUUUCUCUCUGUUUUUGUUUUGUUUCAUAUUAAUGUUUUCUUACUCAUACUGUGGAUUUUGAGGGGAAAGCUUCAGGAGACACGUGGAAUAUUUGUUACUGGGAAAUGGAAUCUGGAUCAGAAUCUAGUCAGCAUCAGAAAAGAAAGCCUGUGACACAUGGACUGGAAGAUCAAAAAAGGCUGCAACAUUGUGCCACACUGAAUACUGCUCCAGAAGCUCUUCCAAUCUUCAGGAUUGACUUAGUGGAGGAUGAGAAAGGUUGUGCUGGUGAUAGGAACCAACACAGAUAUUGUGUAUAUCCCUGACAUUGCUUCUUGAUUGCUGUUGAUUUUAUUUAAAUUUAUAUUUUAAUACUUAUUUGAUUGUAUAUGUUUUUAACAUCUUAGU